GCCGCAAUUUUGAAAAAUCUCGGAAAAUUCCCUUUUUUAAAUCGAUGUUUGACCGAAUUUGCCCUGAAAUUAAACUGUUUUAAGUAGUAUUCUUCGCCAGCUAUAUGUUUGAAUAUACUUAAUCGAUUUGCAAAGUUUGUGUUUUAUUUACAGAAUUUCUUUAUUUGAUGUAAAAGUAGACAUGGGUAUCGGUAAUUUAGCAUUGAGUCAACGGAGAAAUGACGAGAAAAAGUGCAUGUUUUACGAUUCCGAUUUGACCGAAUUUAAUCAAAAAUUAAACUGUUAGGACCAACAUUGUUUGAUAGAAAUGUGUUUGAAUAUCAAGGAUUGAUUUGCAAAAGUAAGAAAACGGAUCAGGUUUAUGAGAAAAUUAAACUUUAUUGAAG
rnacentral:lncRNA from 1 species